AGCCGCCAUCACAUCUAGGAAGUGAGGAGCGUCUCUGCCCGGCCGCCCAUCAUCUGAGAUGUGGGGAGCGCCUCUGCCCCGCCGCCCCAUCUGGGAUGUGAGGAGCGCCUCUGCCCGGCCGAGACCCCGUCUGGGAGGUGAGGAGCAUCUCUGCCCGGCCGCCCCGUCUGAGAAGUGAGGAGACCCUCUGCCUGGCAACCACCCCGUCUGAGAAGUGAGGAGCCCCUCCGCCCGGCAGCUGCCCCGUCUGAGAAGUGAGGAGCCUCUCCACCCGGCAGCCACCCCAUCUGGGAAGUCCUGUGCCAUGGAAGCCUUGAAUUCCAGUGCCCGUUACUUCUUCUGCUGCCAGUGGCUCCCAUUUGUGUUCUCUCCUGUGGCAUCGGAUUCGAUGCAGAAAUGGGAUUUUACUCUCUUGCCUACAGAUACCUGUGUACUCAUCAGCUCCUAUUCCUCCAGCUCAACCAAAGUUCUUUUAACAGUAAAAACCAAUAUGCAAAGAAGAGGAGGAAGAGAUGGAACCAUCAAGCCCUUCUGGGCUCAGAAUAUGUGUGUGUGAGCGCACAUACACAGGUGCAUGCAGCUUUGCAAUAUAAGAUUAAACUGUACAAUGUUCUAUAAUCUCCAUUUUUCCAUUCACUAUAUUAUGAACAUCUUCCAAAUCACCAUAUAGUUUUGUAUAACACACAUUUUGAUGACUGAACAGUAAUGUAUUCUCCACAAUUUGUAUUACCAAAUCUUUACUGAUGGACACAAGUUAUUUAGAGUUUUGAUCAUUAAAAACAUAGCUUUAAUAAACAUUCAUAUAUCUUUGCA
ensembl:lncRNA LINC00392 long intergenic non-protein coding RNA 392